AUUGAACGCUGGCGGCAGGCCUAACACAUGCAAGUCGAGCGAGCGGCGGACGGGUGAGUAAUGUCUGGGAAACUGCCUGAUGGAGGGGGAUAACUACUGGAAACGGUAGCUAAUACCGCAUACCAUCAGAUGUGCCCAGGUGGGAUAAGCUAGUAGGUGGGGUAACGGCUACCCUGGGCGACGAUCCCUAGCGGGUCUGAGAGGAUGACCAGCCACACGGGAACGGCGACACGGUCCAGACUCAGACGGUAGGCAGCGGUGGGGAAGAUUGAACAAUGGGCGCAUGCCUGAUGCAGCCAUGCCGCGUGUGUGAAGAAGGCCUUCGGGUUGUAAAGCACUUUCAGCGGGGAGGCGUUACCCGCAGAAGAAGCACCGGCUAACUCCGUGCCAGCAGCCGCGGUAAUUC
rnacentral:rRNA from 1 species